AUUGAACGCUGGCGGCAUGCCUUACACAUGCAAGUCGAACGGCAGCACGGGAGCAAUCCUGGUGGCGAGUGGCGAACGGGUGAGUAAAGUAUCGGAACGUGCCCAGUCGUGGGGGAUAACGUAGCGAAAGUUACGCUAAUACCGCAUACGAUCUAUGGAUGAAAGCGGGGGAUCGCAAGACCUCGCGCGAUUGGAGCGGCCGAUAUCCGAUUAGGUAGUUGGUGGGGUAAAGGCUCACCAAGCCGACGAUCUGUAGCUGGUCUGAGAGGACGACCAGCCACACUGGGACUGAGACACGGCCCAGACUCCUACGGGAGGCAGCAGUGGGGAAUUUUGGACAAUGGGCGAAAGCCUGAUCCAGCCAUGCCUCGUGCAGGAUGAAGGCCUUCGGGUUGUAAACUGCUUUUGUACGGAACGAAAAGGUUUGGGCUAAUAAGCUGAGCUCAUGACGGUACCGUAAGAAUAAGCACCGGCUAACUACGUGCCAGCCGCCGCCGUAA
rnacentral:rRNA from 1 species